UACAGAGGAGCCAAGCGUUGUCCGGAUUGACUGGGCGUAAAGCGCACGCAGGCGGUUGCGCGCGUGGGGGGUGAAAUCUGGCCGCUUAACGGCCAGGCGCCAUCCCAUACGGCGCGACUGGAGUGAUGCAGAGGUCGAUGGAAUUGCCGGUGUAGUGGUGAAAUGCGUAGAGAUCGGCAGGAACACCCAGGGGGAAACCAGUGGACUGGCACGGAGCUGACGCUCAGGUGCGAAAGCGUGGGGAGCGAACCGG
rnacentral:rRNA from 1 species